AUGACUAAAUGUGACUUUUUCUUCACUUUCUCAACAGAAAUUCAUCGUGGCAUGUUUUCUAGGUCACUAUGGAGGAGAUUUUGGGUGAGUCUUUUUUGUGAUCAUCACUCUAUGUUGCAGUUGACUUCGAUUUCUAAGGUUGAGGGAGUAUGGCCUCAAACUUGUAUAGUUAGUUGUCUUCGUGUGCGCUUGGAGAUGGCCUGACUGCCUUUGGAUCCU
rnacentral:lncRNA from 1 species